rnacentral:rRNA from 1 species
GACGAACGCUGGCGGCGUGCCUAACACAUGCAAGUCGAACGGAAAUCUUACGAGAAUUUCGGUUCAUGUAAGAUUUUAGUGGCGGACGGGUGAGUAACGCGUGAGAAUCUGCCUUCAAGUGGGGAACAACAGUUGGAAACGACUGCUAAUACCGCAUAACAUGGGAAACCAUCAAAGGAGCUUCACGGCUUCGCUUGAAGAUGAGCUCGCGUCUGAUUAGAUAGUUGGUGAGGUAACGGCCCACCAAGUCGACGAUCAGUAGCCGGACUGAGAGGGUGACCGGCCACAUUGGGACUGAGACACGGCCCAAACUCCUACGGGAGGCAGCAGUGGGGAAUAUUGCACAAUGGGCGAAAGCCUGAUGCAGCGACGCCGCGUGAGCGAGGAAGUAUUUCGGUAUGUAAAACUCUAUCAGCAGGAAGAUAAUGACGGUACCUGACUAAGAAGCACCGGCUAAAAUACGUG